AUGGCCAAAGGUCCAAAGGUAAAACAUCCCGAGUAUGUUGAUUUCAAUAGUGAUGAAGAUGACUUGCUAGGUGAUGAUGAUUUACUUAUUUACAACUCUUGUGAUGAAUACUAUGAUGGAACGUCAAUUAAUCAUGCUAAACAAGAUAAAACGAAUUUUGGUAAGGAGAAGAUUGAGCUUCUAACUAAAGGACUAAACACUCUUAAGUUAGCUCAUGAAACUAUCUUUGAAAAUCAUCGAGAACUUUUAAGGGCUCAUGAGAAGUUACGCUUUGAAAAGCUCAAUCUUGAGCAAGAGCAUGAGUUCUUAAAGGCAAUCAAUGAUGAUCUUCGCAAGAAAAGUUCUUCUUAUAUUGCCAAGCGUUUACUCUUAUCUACUUACCUGCCUCAAGUCAAGUCUAGUAACAAGAACAAGAAAGAUUCUUCCUCUAGUAGUAACAAUAACAAUGCUAAAUCAAAUAUUGUUGCUUCUAGUAGUUCUCUUGAUUCCACUAAUGAUUCUCUUAGCCAAGUUACACUUGAGCAAGAAAACAGCUUAUUGAAAGGAAUUAUAGAGAAAGGUGUAUACAAGAGCCUUGCCGGGAGUAAGCAAUUCGAGGAAAUUGUACGCAAGCAAGGAAGGCACCGGAAGAAUCAAGGUGUUGGUUUUGAAUGA
rnacentral:rRNA from 1 species